GUGAGCCGGUGGGCGGCCGCCGGGCCCGGAAGGGUCUGAGGAAACUCCAUCCACCGAGCAGGGCUGCGACGCUGAAAGGCGUGGCGCGAGAGCGUCGGCUCCGGACAGAAACGACACCUCCCCCGGCAAAUGCUGUGAGCCCCGGUCAGGGGCGAGGACGCCGUGGGGCAGGGGUGAGACGGCCGACCCGCAGGGUGAAAGGGCGAAUAGGCGCCGGGUCCCUCCUGCAGGGGGCGCGGGUAGCCCGUAUAGCUGAAUGCUGCCUAGAACAGAAGGUGGGUUACGACCGGCACAC
rnacentral:RNase_P_RNA from 1 species